rnacentral:lncRNA from 1 species
AUCUCUGUAUGGAGAUCCCUCCCUUGUGGAGUCUUUCUUGUGAGCCUAGAUCUUUGGAGAUGGGAGGAACACUGCGUCUGGCUGGUGGGACCACUGCAAAUGGAGUCAGCAAAGAUGUGGCCAAUUCUGGAGUUAGUCUGAAUCUUGGUCUUGAAGGUGUUUUGACACUAUUGCCUCGGGUGUAUGUCUUGCAAAUUUUUCUUUUCCCCCUCUUAUUUUUAUUCUUCACUUCUGGAGUUCAGCGGUCUAUCUUUACAUGGAAAUCACUGCCAUAAUUUAUGCCGCGUGCUUGCUGAAUUUAGUACUUUGUAAAGGCAAUAAUCCUAAGUAUGAAUAAAAAUUCAACACUCCAGGCAGUAAUAGAAGCAAUUCUUAUAUUCCUAAUAUAGUGUAGCAUUUUUAAAGGUUUAAAAAAAAAAAUUGUUUUCAGUUUGCCUUUAAAUCGUUUCUGAAUGAUAGUCUUCUUCAGCUGAUUGCUUCCUUGACAUCCAAAUGACAUCCUGUGUUGCACAUUCAUAAUUUAGGAUAUGAAAUGUGUUGCAAAGGGAAGAAUGGAAAUCGAGUUUGAAGUUGAAUAUAUCGCUCUUAGGGUAAAUUAGCAGGAAAUAAUGCAUACAAUCCUAGUCUUUAUGUUUACUUAGCACAUACACAGGGUAGGAAUGAAUAUAUUAUAUCGUGAUGUAUAUGUUCUCACACAUAAAAUGGAAACUGUAAAUAUUUGCUGCUUCAUAUGUAGAGCACCUACUCUAAGUCAGUGGAAAUGCUGUGUUUAAAUAUUCAAUUUAACUUUCAAGACCAAACCUAUCUUGGUUUUUUUUACUGGAGGAGUGGGGCUGGCUGCUGAUGAAUUUGAAGUUCUUCACAGUUAAGCCUGUCAUCUGUACUUAUGUAAAACUCCAUUUGCAAGGUUUCCUCUUGGCUUAGCCCUGUUGACUGGUGGUAUAUUUAAAAUGCAACUUAUUUAUGCUAGAACUGCUGUUGGCACAGAUGGAAUUAAAGGAGGGCAUAUGUU